CAGUCGCCGCGGGAAUACGGAGGGGGCUAGCGUUGUUCGGAAUUACUGGGCGUAAAGCGCACGUAGGCGGCUUGGUAAGUUAGAGGUGAAAGCCCGGAGCUCAACUCCGGAAUUGCCUUUAAGACUGCCGAGCUAGUAGGUGAGAGAGGUAAGUGGAAUUCCGAGUGUAGAGGUGAAAUUCGUAGAUAUUCGGAAGAACACCAGUGGUGAAGGCGGCUUACUGGCUCAUUCUAGACGCUGAGGUGCGAAAGCGUGGGGAGCAAACAGGAUUAGAUACCCCCGUAGUCCCUGUCUCUUAUAC
rnacentral:rRNA from 1 species